AGGGUUGCCCAUAAGAACGACAGAAUUGCUCUGAGCCAGGAGUUACAAAAUCUAUAAUGCUCUUAUGUCCUGUAAACAAUGAGAGAGCAAAAAUCAGACUUUGUGGAAGAGGACAUCUGCAGACAGAAGUAAACAACUACCCAGAUGUGCUGAACCAUCAGCUUCUCAGCCUCACCAGAAACACUCGAUUCACUGUGAAAGAUAUGCACUGUGAUUUUUUUCACUUCCAUGCAACAAUUACUCCUUAUUUUUUUACUGCACAUGCGGUGCAGUAAUUUACAUUUUCUCACAAGCUAAUUCAGUGUUUCAUUUUUUGAAAUCAUAUAUGUUCAUUAUCACUUUUCUUGAAAAGCUGGAGGUCAGAUAAAGCUGUUAAUUGAAUCAUAAAUAAAUCCAUGUUUGGCUGAAUAGGCUUCCCUUCAGGUUCCGGAGGUGUGAGCGGGCUGCACGGCUGGCUGCCUCUCCCUGAGGAAACUGUGGCCGAAUGCUAGUACCAGCCCACCGCUGCCACCGCCGCUGCUGCUCCGGGAAUGGUUCCUGAGGACUCCCUGCGAUUCAAGUCCGGAUGGAAUAUGCACCUCUGGGAGCUUUAAAGUUCUCAUUCGAAGGAAAAUCCUGGAGAGAGAAGGAAAGAAUGGCUGUCAUCCAAGUGGACCAUGCUACCAUCUGAAAAGGGAAACUUUCCUUCCUUUCUCUUCAAAAUGGAAAAAACAAAGGAUCACUUAAACUCCUCACUCAGUGGGGAAAAUCAGAAUCAAUCAGUUUCAAUGCUUGGAAUGACUCAGUCUGAAUUAGCAAAGCAAGUUAAACAACAACUCCAAACUGAUUGCUAAAUUAUCCCUUUACAGCAAGGGGCUGUAGGUUAUAAGCUAAAAGCCUGGGCUUUGCCUCAGAUCUACCUGGGGAUAAACCCAGUUGUGCCACUUACUACCUCUGACUUUGGAAAAGUUAUUCAACUCCUGACCUCACUUCCUUGUCUGUAUAAUGGGAAGAAAAUUACACACCUUGUGGAGUGAUUUUGAGAAUUUAAUGCAUUAGUUUACAUAAAGUUCUUAGCCCAAUAUUGGACCCUGUUGUGUUUUUACCUUUCAUACUGUCUUGCUGCUUACCUUGUUCUGAGGCUAGCCAUUACUUUCUUUAAUUCAAGAUUCAUUCUAUAAUUCAGUAAUCAGAUCUUGAUCCUUGUAUUAUUUACAAUGUUUUACCUGUACAUUUAUAUUUCUGGACACAUUGCAGUAUCCAAAACCGAAAAUGAAACUCAUUGCCAUCAAGUUGAUUCUAACUCAUAGUGACUGUAUAGGACAGAGUAGAACUGCCCCAUAGAGUUUCCAAAACUAUAAUCUUUAUGGAAGAAGACUGCUACAUCUUUCUCCCAGGAAGCAAUUGGUGGGUUUGAGUCGCCAACCUUUUGGUUAGCAGCAGAAUGCUUAACCACUGUGCCACUACCCAGGCUCCUUUAUUACAGUAUCAAAUUAUAUUUUCUUAGGUUUUUUUUUUUUUUAUAAACGGCUACAGUUUAAGAAACUAAGGUCAUGAUGAAAUUGUAAUGCAAAGAUCAUAGAGUCAAAUACUCAUAGGGACCAGGUAGGUAUAUAAAUUAUUAAGGUAAAUCAGAUGAGAAAAUAGGACCUGAAAUGGAGAAUGCAUGUUCCCUCCAACAGAAUGGCCUAGUAGAGUCAGUUUGCUGCUGGCAAGUAGAAUAAAGGCCCAGUUUUGUCAAAGUGUCUAUUUUUCAAGUUUUAUAAUGUGGAAAUUUUGAAAUCUUCAAUACUAGAGAGUGACCUAAAUUUUUUCAAACAUGAUGGGCCAAACAAAAGACAUUUAUGGGUCCAAUUCAGCCCUUGCCAGUUUGCAGCCUACAAGAUGGAAUUUUGAAUGUGUGCCACCUAGUGGUAAGAAUUAACAUUAAAAGACAAUAAUUUACAAAACGCUGCUUUAUAGUAUAUGACUAUAAUGCUAAGUAUCUAUGGUCAUUGGUCUUCCAAACUCUUCUUAAAUAAUUAGCCAUAAAUGCUAGUGAAGUCGGUUAGUUUUGGGAACUUCUUUUAUCACAAUCAGCGGUUCUGUAAUUUAUUUCACUCAUAACUACAGUGGCUGCAAAAGGGCUGCUCCAGUGGUUUUGCUGCUCUCAUGUUUAUUGCUAAAAUUUCUAGAGGUUCUGUCCUCUUAAACUCCGGAUGAUCUGCUGUCUGGAACCACUCUCCUAAGACUAUGACCUAAUUCUUACCUUGCCUAGAACUAGUUAGAAGGAGCUCUAGUAGGGCAGUGAUUAAGAGCUUGGCUGCUAACCAAAAUGUCCACAGUUUGAAUCCAUCAGCUGCUCCUUGGAAACCCUAUGGGGUAGUUCUACUCUGUGCUACAGGGUCGCUAUGAGUCAGAAUUGACUCGAUGGUAACUGGUUUGGUUUUGGGUUUUGAUUACUAAAUUGUAUUUAAUCUGAUCUUAAUUUUUAAUUAACUCAUGAAUUCAGUUAAACUGAUGUAUUCAGGUUUAUAUUUGCCACCUUUUGUGAUUUUAUUUAUCCCGGUUUAUUGUUCCAUGUUUCUUUUUUCUCCUCUUUCAAACUUUUAGUAGAUGGAAUAGUUUUUUUUUAAACUUCUGUUGCCCCAAUAUUUUGAAAGCUUUAUACUUUAUUUCUAUUCUUUGAAUAAAUAUUCUUAAAUUUUUAAAACACACAAAUGACUUUACAAAGUUCAAUGUUAACCAGUAGCUUCAUCCCUCACUUAAAAAGUACAAAAGUCUUAGAUACUUCUUUUCCUGAGUCUAACAUUUUAUUAUUUGCCUACUUUAGUUCUGACUUAUUUUUAUACUCCUCAAAUAAGUUUUAAAUAAAAAUUUUAAUAAUAUUUUGUAUAGUCAGUUAUUUCAGUUCAUUUAUUUUCCACUGUUUCUUGCUUCUUAAUUCUUCCUUUGGGAUGUAUUUCCUUGUUCUGGAAACACAUUUUAAAAAGAUGUUUCAAUGAAGAUCUACUAUACAUGAAAUUGGAGUUUCAGAAGGGGAGUAGAGAGAAGAUGGGGAAGAAGAAAUUUAAAGAGAUAAUAUUUCAAGAGUUUUCUAAAACUGACCACCAAAUAUGUCAAGCAACAAAUUCUAGAAGCCUGUAAAGCCCAAGUAGGGUAAACACAAUGAAAACCACAUUUUGGUACAUCAGAUUAAAACUAAUGAAAAUCAGGAGGCAGAGCCAACAUAGCUCUAUAGACAGAUGCACCAUGCCAUCCCUCCGCAGCAAAGACCCAAAAAACUAAGUAAAACAAAUAUAAACGUCAAUCCUGGAACCCUAAACAUCAAAUAAAGGGAUAAAGAACUAGAUCAAGCACCAAAUGGAAGAAGAAACUGGGGGAGAACAGAGAAUAAGGAAAGCUGUGGAGUGGAGGUCCCUGGCCACUGAACACAAUACAGUGUUGACAUCUUAGAACACAGCUAGCAGCUACUCCACACAGGGAGUACAGGAAGGCAACUUCACAGAGGUCCCAACAGGAGGCAGAGGACCCAGUUACCAGAGAAACACACUUUCCCACCCCCACCCUUCUGCCCCAUACAGUGCCCCCACUGCUUCCCAAUAGGCCACACCAUGCUGCUCAGUUGUCGCAGAUCCCCUCUGCCCCACCAGCCGGCUCCCACUGUGCCAUUUUUUUUCUCUUUCCCUUUCUUCCUUUUCUUCCUCCCUUACACCUAGCCCAUGCACCACCUCCACCCCUCUGUGAUGGGCUGUGCUGUGCCACUCAGCUGGAGAGGCACCGACUUGCCACCACCCUGGAUCUGCUCCACCCACACUGGCUACCAUCACAUCACUUUUUUUCUUUUCUUCCUUCUCUCUCUCCCUACCACUUAGCCCCAUAUGCCACCUUCACCCAUGCCCAAUGGGCCAUGCCACACUGCUUUGGUAGAGAGCCACUGGCCAUGGCUGCCCUGUGUCUGCCCCU